rnacentral:rRNA from 1 species
UACAGAGGGUGCAAGCGUUAAUCGGAAUUACUGGGCGUAAAGGGUGCGUAGGCGGUUAAAUAAGUUAGAUGUGAAAUCCCCAGGCUUAACCUGGGAACUGCGUUUAAUACUGUAUAGCUAGAGUACUGAAGAGGUUAGUGGAAUUUCCAGUGUAGCGGUGAAAUGCGUAGAUAUUGGAAGGAACACCAGUGGCGAAGGCGACUAACUGGUCAGAUACUGACGCUGAGGCACGAAAGCGUGGGGAGCAAACAGG